UGGGGAAUAUUGGACAAUGGGCGCAAGCCUGAUCCAGCCAUGCCGCGUGUGUGAAGAAGGCCUUCGGGUUGUAAAGCACUUUUGUCCGGAAAGAAAAGCAUUCGGCUAAUAACCGGGUGUUAUGACGGUACCGGAAGAAUAAGCACCGGCUAACUUCGUGCCAGCAGCCGCGGUAAUACGAAGGGUGCAAGCGUUACUCGGAAUUACUGGGCGUAAAGCGUGCGUAGGUGGUUUGUUAAGUCCGAUGUGAAAGCCCUGGGCUCAACCUGGGAAUGGCAUUGGAUACUGGCAGGCUAGAGUGCGGUAGAGGGGUGUGGAAUUCCCGGUGUAGCAGUGAAAUGCGUAGAUAUCGGGAGGAACAUCUGUGGCGAAGGCGACACCCUGGACCAGCACUGACACUGAGGCACGAAAGCGUGGGGAGCAAACA
rnacentral:rRNA from 1 species